rnacentral:rRNA from 1 species
CCUACGGGGUGCACCAGUGGGGAAUAUUGCACAAUGGGCGCAAGCCUGAUGCAGCCAUGCCGCGUGUAUGAAGAAGGCCUUAGGGUUGUAAAGUACUUUCAGUUGGGAGGAAGGCGUUGAUGCUAAUAUCAUCAACGAUUGACGUUACCAACAGAAGAAGCACCGGCUAACUCCGUGCCAGCAGCCGCGGUAAUACGGAGGGUGCAAGCGUUAAUCGGAAUUACUGGGCGUGAAGCGCACGCAGGCGGUUGAUUAAGUUAGAUGUGAAAUCCCCGGGCUUAACCUGGGAAUGGCAUCUAAGACUGGUCAGCUAGAGUCUUGUAGAGGGGGGUAGAAUUCCAUGUAUAGCGGUGAAAUGCGUAGAGAUGCGGAGGAAUACCGGUGGCGAAGGCGGCCUCCUGGACAAAGACUGACGCUCAGGUGCGAAAGCGUGGGGAGUAAACAGGAUUAGAUACCCUGGUAGUC